rnacentral:misc_RNA from 1 species
GAGCUACUGGUUGUCUUUUUGACUUAUCUUACUUUUAGUCGGGGACUAAAACACUCAAAUUUGCUUGUACAUGUAUGCUUUUUCUAAAAAUAGUCGUUAUGUUGAAGGGUGUUCCAUUUUCCACAAAAUAGUUAUUUUGUUAUAACUUGGUACAAUUUUUCUUAAUCAUGCACUGACAUUUCUGUUCAACUGCAAUGUGGUUUUUUGGAUAUGGGGCGUUAACAAGAUUGUCUAUAUUCAUAUAUAUACGGGUAUAUAAACCUAUCGAUUAGUGAUAUAGCCUAUCUUGUUAAGGUGGCAGAUGAACACCCCAUAUCUUUACUUAUAUACCAGGUACUUUAUUAUCUAUUCCUGCCAAAGGUCUAAAACUUUUACUAGUCUCAAUCUCAGGAUACUUUGUGAUAUUUUCAAGGUAUUAUGUAUGAAUAUUGUUCUUCGAGUUUUAUGUCAUUUAUUGGAGGAAAUGCCUAUUUUCUACUUGUCACAUCACAUCACUUAUUCUUCAUUUCGUAUUAUCGUAUAUUGUGACUUUGACUAUGGCAUUAUGUUUCAUGCAACUGUUAUGCUAUGUAUUCUUCAAUAAAUGACCUGUUUUUUUCUUUACGAAAGAGUUGAGUUUUGCUACGUAAUAGGAUAGAUGUGAUCAGGCAGGCAUAAAACACAUAUAUGUCCAUAAAUAGUUUUUGCAUGUUGACCACUUUAUUUGUAUGUUUUGUUAACCACGUGGUAUUGAUUUCCACUACUGUGUAUUUUUAGUUUAGGCAUGCGCACUGGCAAGUUAUGCAUAUUAGCUAGUCUGCGCAUGCGUAGUCAUUGUUCAUUUUGUAAACAUCCAUGAUUGUCCACGGUUUGCCACCACCCUCCCCUCCACCUUUUUAUUGUACAUCAUUUGUAAGGCAGAUGAACACCCCAUAUCUUUACUUAUAUACCAGGUACUUUAUUAUCUAUUCCUGCCAAAGGUCUAAAACUGUUACUAGUCUCAAUCUCAGGAUACUUUGUGAUAUUUUCAAGGUUUUAUGUAUUAAUAUUGUUCUUCGAGUUUUAUGUCAUUUAUUGUCAGGAUACUUUGUGAUAUUCUCAAGGUUUUAUGUAUGAAUAUUGUUCUUCGAGUUUUAUGUCAUUUAUUUAAGGAAAUGCCUAUUUUCUACUUGUCACAUCACAUCACUUAUUCUUCAUUUCGUAUUAUAUUAUAUUGUGACUUUGACUAUGGCAUUCUGUUUCAUGCAACUUUUAUGCUAUGUAUUCUUCAAUAGAUGACCUGUUUUAUUCUUUAUGAAAGAGUUGAGUUUUGCUACGUAAUAGUAUAGAUGUGAGCAGGCAGGCAUAAACAAGCUUUACAAGCCAUAAAGCUUUUGAAUGAUUUUUUGUUCAAUUACAUUGUAGGUUUAUAUCUCACUCAACACGUUUUUCUUAACUCUCCCCAAUUUAUCUAUUAAAGGAAAAAUAUAUACUGUUACAAAAAUUUAGAUUCUCUUUAUUUUAUUUUUAACAUCAAUGUACAUUUUUUAAAUACGUCAAAAGUGUAGUUUAUUUAGACUAGUUAUGUUCAUCAAUUAGUUAUGCCUUUUAAAACUUUUCUAUCAAGCAUAAUUAUUUAAGUAAUUAAAAUCAUCAUUGUUGUUUGCAAAUAAGAGAUAAAUAUCACCUGGUCUAUUGUUACCUUACAUACAAUGUUAUUUGCAUUCUGUUUUAUUUCCUUCUGCAGCAUUCAAAAACAAUAUAGUUUUAUUGAAAGUAUC